UGCUUCUUGCAUUCUCUCUCCCUUUGUAUAAAACGCACUAACUUGUGGGAGAGAAAGUGUUCUCCUCUUUUAGAAUUCAAUUAAUUGUCAAGCAAUUAUAUUGCAGUUCCAGUAACUGUAUCGACCGGGUCCCGGUCGAAGAAACCAACAGCAGGCGUUUCAAGACAACAGUGAACUGUUAUGUUUAUUGCGCUGGGCAUUUUAUACCAGAGCGAGGGAAAGGGGGUAGUGGAAAUAGAGGGCAAGGAAAGGCACGUGUCGUUCCAGCGUGCCAAGAUAGCUUGUGCUCGUUGAACUGAUACGAUACAGUAACUAGAGCACAAAUGCGAAAACGAAACCGAUUCUGUUCCGCGCUCACAGAGUGCGGCACCAGGGGGCAGCGCGCGCUGCGCGUCCGUUAGGAGUGGCAGACGGAGCUGCACAUGUGUAGUCAGCCGGAAUUUUUCGUGUCGUGUUGUAAAGGUUGUUAAUUUGCCGUAAAUAUCUCUUGAUUUGUACUCAAGAGUGAAGCAAGACUCCAAGGAAGAGAGAUUGACGCAUCGGGAGCGAAGGACAGAAACGAUGGAUGGUUACGCUGCUUGGGUCUCGGCACGUUCGAAUUGGCAAAGUUCCGAAUUUGUCGCUGUGUUUUGUACGCUUGUGCGCUCGUCAUUUGCCGUCAUCGCGCGGAGAUAUUUGCGCUGGAUGUCUUUCACUUCGUGUACAAAACUCUGCACGCUGCGGCAUCGAAGAAGUUGUCCUGUGUUUGGGUGCACGUAUGCGCUUGGACACGGAUAUAUCCUGCUUGCUGUCAACGGGUGUUCAACAGUCUACGCGCACUCGUAACUUGCAUCAAGAGGCAAGUUGCUGUUGUGCUGGAGCUGAGAAGAGGUCUGCUGCCUGCAAUGGGUCCAUCUCUCUCAAGUUAUCGCAGUAUUGUAGCUCUCAAAGUUCAAAAAAGUAUGGUGGAAGCUGUUGCCAAGGUUCCGACCAGAAAAGACAGCCAGUAUAAAAGGGUUCACACCACUGAUCUCUACUACAGGGGAUGGACAGCACAUCGAGCACCCUCGACUGAAGCCAACCUUCUCCCGGAAGUUGGUGCUUCACAACUUUGCGGCAGCACUUCGUUUGCACGGCCUGUGGAGACAAGGUUUCUUAGACAUGGCCAUGGCCCUCAAGGAAGAUGCCGAGGCCACAGGCAGUUCCUCCAGUGACCGUGAAAAGGUCCCCUGGGGCACAAGUCUAAUUUGGCACCCCUACCUUUCUCCUGCAGCUUUUCUGUCUACUUAGCUAACCAGCAGCAAGUUUAUCCUUGCAAGCAUUUUGGGUCAAGAACAACUUUCACCAGGAAGAAGUGCAAGACGAGUGAUUGAAGAAAAUAAAGUUGCUUCUGUGAUCUAAGAA